GACGAACGCUGGCGGCGUGCCUAACACAUGCAAGUCGAGCGAAUGAAAUUCCUUCGGGAAUGGAUUUAGCGGCGGACGGGUGAGUAACACGUGGGCAGCCUGCCUCAUAGAGGGGAAUAGCCUUCCGAAAGGGAGAUUAAUACCGCAUAAGAUUGUAGUACCGCAUGGUACAGCAAUUAAAGGAGCAAUCCGCUAUGAGAUGGGCCCGCGGCGCAUUAGCUAGUUGGUGAGGUAACGGCUCACCAAGGCGACGAUGCGUAGCCGACCUGAGAUGGUGAUCGGCCACAUUGGGACUGAGACACGGCCCAGACUCCUACGGGAGGCAGCAGUGGGAAAUAUUGCACAAUGGGGGAAACCCUGAUGCAGCAACGCCGCGUGAGUGAUGACGGCCUUCGGGUUGUAAAGCUCUGUCUUCAGGGACGAUAAUGACGGUACCUGAGGAGGAAGCCACGGCUAACUUCGUGCCAGCCGCCGCAGUAAGAC
rnacentral:rRNA from 1 species